rnacentral:rRNA from 1 species
CACGUAGGCGGAUUGUUAAGUUAGGGGUGAAAUCCCAGGGCUCAACCCUGGAACUGCCUUUAAUACUGGCAAUCUAGAGAUCGAGAGAGGUGAGUGGAAUUCCGAGUGUAGAGGUGAAAUUCGUAGAUAUUCGGAGGAACACCAGUGGCGAAGGCGGCUCACUGGCUCGAUACUGACGCUGAGGUGCGAAAGCGUGGGGAGCGAACAGGAUUAGAUACCCUGGUAGUCC